UACGAAGGGGGCUAGCGUUGCUCGGAAUUACUGGGGCGUAAAGCGCACGUAGGCGGCUUUCUAAGUCGGGGGUGAAAUCCUGGAGCUCAACUCCAGAACUGCCUUCGAUACUGGAAAGCUCGAGUCCGGGAGAGGUGAGUGGAACUGCGAGUGUAGAGGUGAAAUUCGUAGAUAUUCGCAAGAACACCAGUGGCGAAGGCGGCUCACUGGCCCGGUACUGACGCUGAGGUGCGAAAGCGUGGGGAGCAAACAGG
rnacentral:rRNA from 1 species